rnacentral:tRNA from 2 species
AUUUCUAUUUAUAUAGUUUAAAUAAAACCUUACAUUUUCACUGUAAAAUUAAAUUCCUAUAUUUUAUAA